rnacentral:rRNA from 1 species
GACGAACGCUGGCGGCGUGCUUAACACAUGCAAGUCGAACGGUAAGGCCCUUCGGGGUACACGAGUGGCGAACGGGUGAGUAACACGUGGGUGAUCUGCCCUGCACUUCGGGAUAAGCCUGGGAAACUGGGUCUAAUACCGGAUAGGACCAAUGCCGGCAUGGGUGGUGGUGGAAGGCUUUUGCGGUGUGGGAUGGGCCCGCGGCCUAUCAGCUUGUUGGUGGGGUGAUGGCCUACCAAGGCGACGACGGGUAGCCGGCCUGAGAGGGUGACCGGCCACACUGGGACUGAGAUACGGCCCAGACUCCUACGGGAGGCAGCAGUGGGGAAUAUUGCACAAUGGGCGCAAGCCUGAUGCAGCGACGCCGCGUGAGGGAUGACGGCCUUCGGGUUGUAAACCUCUUUCAGCACCGACGAAGCGCAAGUGACGGUAGGUGCAGAAGAAGGACCGGCCAACUACGUGCCAGCCGCCGCGGUAA